ACAAGAUUACUUGCUGUUUGCACCUGGUUGUCAUAAUUAGAGCACUGAUGACAGGGGAGGAGUUAAUUGAGAUGAAGAUCACACCGAGGAGGGUGCGAUGCGUACAUGGCUCUGCAUGAACGCUUCACGGCUAUUUAGAGUGAUAAUUACUCCCUCGGUCACCUUAAACAGCAUUAACAGGCUUUUUGACAGUUAAGGGCUGAAACAUACUCUACAUGAGGACAUGAGCUACUGGUGGUGUACAAAAAAGAAUUCAUUAGACUACUUGUUGAGAAGUUGAGUACUGAGAUUACCACCAGAGACACACAAGACAGAAGUAUAUGGCUAAGCAUUCACUUCUGUGUAUCUUUGUGAGAGUUCCUCACAGUUCCUCUCUCAUUGACACACACAGCAGUUCAACCUUUCCCAUAAAAUUCCAAACCACAUCAAUAUUACACAGAUCUAGUGAGUCGGGUAAAUUAUGUAGAUUAUGUUUUGAAAGACUGGGAACACUUUUCUCACAUCAGAGCUGGGUGAGCUGCUCCACCUGGGCACAUUUUGAUGUAAACACGGAAGGGAGUGCUUUCAUUAGCCACGUUCAUAUUAUUGAUAUGCACCUUUUGAGGAGGGAGUGUGGGAACAGAGGCUUUUCGGAGACGAAGGAACUGCUGUUUGUACUGAGGAAAGGUUUUUGUUCCCGAGCUACACAGUGUUGCACCCCACAGUCAAAAACCCAGAUGAAGAAACUGAACAGAAAGUCAUAUUUCACUAACCUAACACCUAUAGUUGCCAUCAACUUGAUAAAAAUAGCUUUAGAUAAAACAACUUUUGCAAGCAAACUGUGUCUAGGGUUUAACUCACAGGCUCUUGGCAAGAUAUUUUCUUCAACAAAGCUCCAUUUUCUCAAACAUAUUGGUCUUUUAUGUUAU
ensembl:lncRNA